UACGUAGGGGGCAAGCGUUGUCCGGAUUUAUUGGGCGUAAAGAGCGUGUAGGCGGCUUUACAGGUCCGUUGUGAAAACUCGAGGCUCAACCUCGAGACGCCGGUGGAAACCGUAAAGCUAGAGUCCGGAAGAGGAGAGUGGAAUUCCUGGUGUAGCGGUGAAAUGCGCAGAUAUCAGGAAGAACACCUGUGGCGAAAGCGGCUUACUAGACGACAACUGACGCUGAGGCGCGAAAGCUAGGGGAGCAAACAGG
rnacentral:rRNA from 1 species